AAGGGAGACCUAAUUCGGGUAGAAGACGAAAAAAAAGUAGUCCCUACCAAGAAUCAAUCCCAAAAGGUCGGAGCGAGGCAAAAUUGGCUUUCAAACUAGGUUCUGGGUUCACACAAGACCUGAAUCAGGAACAAGGGCUAUUAGCUCAGGUGGUUAGAGCGCACCCCUGAUAAGGGUGAGGUCCCUGGUUCGAGUCCAGGAUGGCCCACCUGUACAGGUGGCAAAAACAAAGAAAAGAAGCGAGGAAUCAGCACCUUAUCUUACUUAUAUAGUAAGAGAGAAUGCUGGCUCUGAGUAAAGAGUCCAGAGGAACCUUGAAAACUGCAUAGAGCUAGGUGAAAAAGCCAAAAAAGAAGACCGCAA
rnacentral:tRNA from 1 species